rfam:Pseudogymnoascus pannorum VKM F-4516 (FW-969) contig_1532, whole genome shotgun sequence.
GGGGCUGUAACUCAGUGGUAGAGUGUUCGCUUUGCAUGCACCUAGUCUCCGGAUUACUAUGAUACUUAUAUGCGAAAAGUCCAGGGUUCGAUCCCCUGCCGCUCCA